rnacentral:rRNA from 1 species
GACGAACGCUGGCGGCGUGCUUAACACAUGCAAGUCGAACGGAAAGGCCCUGCUUUUGUGGGGUGCUCGAGUGGCGAACGGGUGAGUAACACGUGAGUAUCCCGCCCUUGACUUUCGGAUAACUUCUGGAAACUCGGGCUCAUACCCGAUAGAAGCUCCUGCUGCAUGGUGGGCGUUGGUAAGUUUCGGCGGUUGUGGCUGGAUUCGCGGCUUAUCAGCUUGUUGGUGUGGUAGUGGCUUACCAAGGCUUUGACGGGUAGCCGGCCUGAGAGGGUGACCGGCCACAUGGGGACUGAGAUACGGCGCAGACGGCUACGGGAGGCAGUAGUGGGGAAUAUUGCAGAAUGGGCGGAAGCGUGAUGCAGCAACGUCGCGUGCGGGAUGACGGGCUUCGGGUGGUAAACCGAUUUCGCAUGUGACGAAGAGUGAGUGACGGUAAUGGGUAAAGAAGCAACGGCUAACUACGUG